rnacentral:rRNA from 1 species
GACGAACGCUGGCGGCGGGCCUAACACAUGCAAGUCGAACGAGUGGCGGACGGGUUAGUAAUGACUGGGAAACUUACUGAUGGAUGGGGAUAACUACUGGAAACUGUCUCUAAUACCGCAUUCCAUCCGAUGUUCCAAGCUGGGUUUGGCUUGUUGGUGGGGUAACGGCUAACAAAGGCGAGGAUACCUAGCUGGUCUGCGAGGAGGACCGGCACAACUGGAACUGAGAAACGGGCCAGACUCCUACGGGAGGAGGCAGUGGGGAAUAUUGCAAAAUGGGGGAAAGCUUGAUGCAGCCAUUCGGCGUGUAUGAAGAAGGCCUUCGGGUUGUAAAGUACUUUCAGCGGGGAGGCGUUACCCGCAGAAGAAGCACCGGCUAACUCCAUGCCAGCAGCCGCGGUAAUAC